rnacentral:rRNA from 1 species
UACGGGGGGAGCAAGCGUUGUUCGGAUUUACUGGGCGUAAAGGGCGGGUAGGCGGCCACCGCAAGUCAGUUGUGAAAUCUCCGGGCUUAACUCGGAAAGGUCAACUGAUACUGCGGGGCUAGAGUGCAGAAGGGGCAACCGGAAUUCUCGGUGUAGCGGUGAAAUGCGGUAGAUAUCGAGAGGAACACCUGCGGCGAAGGCGGGUUGCU